GGAUUGGGAGGGUUCUACGGAACCCGUUUGGUGAAUCUAGUGCCGAGAAAAGCCUUCUAUGUGUUGAAUUUCUAGUACCCGUACCCCAAACCGACACAGGUGGGUGGGUAGAGCAUACCUAGGGGCGCGUGAUAACUCUCUCUAAGGAACUCGGCAAAAUGGCCCUGUAACUUCGGGAUAAGGGGUGCCUGCGUGAGCAGGCCGCAGUGAAAUGGCUCUGGCGACUGUUUACCAAAAACACAGGUCUCUGCUAAGUCGUAAGACGAUGUAUAGGGGCUGACUCCUGCCCAGUGCCGGAAGGUUAAGGAAGUUGGUUAGCGCAAGCGAAGCUGGCGACCGAAGCCCCGGUGAACGGCGGCCGUAACUAUAACGGUCCUAAGGUAGCGAAAUUCCUUGUCGGGUAAGUUCCGACCCGCACGAAAGGAGUAACGAUCAGAGCGCUGUCUCGGAGAGAGACACGGCGAAAUAGGAUUGUCCGUGAAGAUACGGACUACCUGCACCCGGACAGAAAGACCCUAUGAAGCUUUACUGUAACUUGGAAUUGUGUUCGGACUUUGUCUGCGCAGAAUAGGUGGGAGGCUAUGAAACGUUCCUCGCGGGGAACUGGAGCCAUCGUUGAGAUACCACUCUGGCAGAGUCUGGAUUCUAACCUACGGGGACAGUUCCAGGUGGGCAGUUUGACUGGGGCGGUCGCCUCCUAAAAUGUAACGGAGGCGCGCAAAGGUUCCCUCAGGCUGGUUGGAAAUCAGCCAUAGAGUGUAAAAGCAUAAGGGAGCUUGACUGUGAGACCUACAAGUCGAGCAGGGACGAAAGUCGGCUUUAGUGAUCCGACGGCACUGAGUGGAAGGGCCGUCGCUCAACGGAUAAAAGUUACUCUAAGGAUAACAGGCUGAUCUCCCCCAAGAGUUCACAUCGACGGGGAGGUUUGGCACCUUGAUGUCGGCUCGUCGCAACCUGGGGCGGUAGUACGUCCCAAGGGUUGGGCUGUUCGCCCAUUAAUCGGCACGUGAGCUGGGUUCAGAACGUCGUGAGACAGUUCGGUCCAUAUCCGGUGUAGGCGUAGGAGCAUUGAAAGGAUCUCUCCUUAGUACGAGAGGACCGGGAGGGACGUACCUCUGGUGUACCUGUUAUCGUGCCAACGGUAAACGCAGGGUAGCCAUGUACGGAGUGGAUAACCGCUGAGAGCAUCUAAGUGGGAAGCCCACCUUAAGAUGAGUGCUCCCUUGAGGCCACGGGAAGACGACCCGUUUGAUAGGCGCUAGGUGGAAGUGCAGUAAUGCAUGCAGCCGAGGCGUACUAAUAGGCCGAUGGC
rnacentral:rRNA from 1 species